rnacentral:misc_RNA from 1 species
GAUGAAGAACGCAGCGAAAUGCGAUAAGUAAUGUGAACUGCAGAAUUCAGUGAAUCAUCGAAUCUUUGAACGCAUCUUGCGCUCCUUGGUAUUCUGAGGAGCAUGCCUGUUUGAGUGUCAUUAAAUUCUCAACUACACUGACUUUGAAUUGGUGUGGCUUGGAUUUGGGGGGAAAAUUGUUGUGGGCUUUUUGUAUAGUCUGCUCCCCUGAAAUUGAUUAGCGGUACCUUUGUGGAACUGUCUACAGGUGUGAUAAUUAUCUACAUCUUAGACAUCUGCUGGAAUGCUGCUUUCUAAACCUUACUUGUAUUGACAAUCUUGACCUCAAAUCAGGUAGGACUACCCGCUGAACUUAAGCAUAUCAAUAAGCGGAGGA